UACGGCCAGGUCGCGCUGAAAUAUUGGUUUCCGUAGGAUCACCGAAGUUAAGCAACGUCGAGUCUGGUCUGUACUUAGGUGAGUGACCGCUUGGGAAUAGCAGUUGCCGU